UGCCUUUAUGUGUUGCCCGUUCAUUUUGUUCUAGAUGGAUGUGGUGUCAAAUAAGGCGCACAAAAACGCUUGGAACGGCUUCAAAUUCACAAAAUCCCACUGAUUUCUGUGAAGUGCUGUGACAAGGACAUCC
ensembl:snoRNA Small nucleolar RNA SNORA13